CUUUGAAAGCAACAGAAGCACCCAAAGGCCAAAAUAUUCCAACAGAUCCAUGCAUGCUACACCUUUCUACAAAAGGCCACUCCCAUUUCAAAACUCAUCAUACAAAACUAUUCCUUCCUCAUUGCUUAGUCAAAACCUAUCUCUCAUCUCAUCAUCUUCAAAUAUCACCCAGAAUUUCCAUUCCCUCUGCUUUUCUUUGCUCUAUAUAGCUUCUAGGGUUUCUCAGAGGUCUUGUUCCAUAGCCAUUUUGGCAUUCUGUCCACCUCCAUCAGUGUUGACAAUUGGAGGUGGCCAGAAGACCAAACGGGCUAUGUGAAUUCGUAUCUAAGAAACCCUGUGGGCUCAAUUCUCCAUCAUAUUAUUCCUUCUGAGUUCUGCAUAAUCAUAGUUUUCCUCAUCAUGCACAUAUUAUUCCUUCUUUAUCUGAAACAUGCAACUUUUCUACAAGGAACAACAUAAGUUGUUGAAACUCCAUUGGGUUGUAGCAGUUGCAGCAUUGGAUUCCUAGAAGCAUUAGGGUAUGAUUAAUUUAGACUUGGCAAUGCUGUUCUGAGGCCACCAUUAUGAGUUGUAGUGUUUUCAAAUGGAAACCAAAUUCCUGCACUCACAUAGCAUAGCAGCACCAACCACCAAUUCUUUGUCAAUGGGAGAGGAAUCUAUUAGUGCCCUUUGGACCUGACACAUAUCAUCAUCAUAUCAUGCAACAAUGAAUCACUGUUCACUCUUCCAAACCAGAA